GCGGUGGAUGCUCCACGUUGUUGCCCUUCGACUUUUCAAACUGGUAUUUUCAAAACUGCAGCUCUUUGCGCCAGAAGUACGAGUUAGUUGUACAGAAGUGACAACACUGUUGUUCGCCAUCUCUACAAUUCAGAUAAAAUGAACAGAAAGAAUGGGCCUGUCUCCAGCUCCACCAUUAGACGGAGGGUCCGUCAAGAUGUUUUGACUACAUCACUGUGAUUGAUGGGAAACUGAAUACAACUUUGACUGUUCAGUAAAGUUUCUUCUCUUCAAUGUGUAUAACACGCCUAUUAUUGCCGUUUAAUCUCUUUUUUUUACGGUAUACCUCGUGUUGUCAAACACACAUUUUCAUACUCCUGGUUAUUAAGAACUUUAAUAGUUGCAAAAUAUUAUUUUUUUCAAAGUUCUUGGAACAGAAGGUUAUAUUUCUGUGACAAGUGACACUGUUUGUUUCUUUCCUCUGUAAUUCAGGAUGUUCCACUUCAUAGAAUUCUUGACUAACAAAACGGUAGCAGU